rnacentral:tRNA from 1 species
GCCUGGAUGGCUCAGUUGGUUGAGCGUCUGACUCAUGAUAUCAGCUCAGGUUCGUGAGUUUGAGCCUCGCACCGGGCU